rnacentral:rRNA from 1 species
UUAGAACGUCGUGAGACAGUUCGGUCCCUAUCUGCCGUGGGCGUUGGAGAAUUGAGAGGGGCUGCUCCUAGUACGAGAGGACCGGAGUGGACGCAUCACUGGUGUACCAGUUGUCUCGCCAGAGGCACUGCUGGGUAGCUAAAUGCGGAAGAGAUAAGUGCUGAAAGCAUCUAAGCACGAAACUCGCCUUAAGAUGAGUUCUCCCUAGCUAUAAGCUAGUAAGGGUUGUUGAAGACUACGACGUAGAUAGGUCUG